GACGAACCGUGCGAACGUUGUUCGGAAUCACUGGGCUUAAAGGGCGCGUAGGCGGGUGCUCAAGUCCGGGGUGAAAUCCUCCAGCUCAACUGGAGAACUGCCUCGGAUACUGGGUGUCUCGAGGGUGGUAGGGGUAUGCGGAACUAUCGGUGGAGCGGUGAAAUGCGUUGAUAUCGAUAGGAACUCCGGUGGCGAAGGCGGCAUACUGGACCACAUCUGACGCUGAGGAGCGAAAGCCAGGGGAGCAAACGGG
rnacentral:rRNA from 1 species